rnacentral:rRNA from 1 species
UACGGAGGGUGCAAGCGUUACUCGGAAUCACUGGGCGUAAAGAGCGCGUAGGCGGGAUAGCAAGUCAGAUGUGAAAUCCUAUGGCUUAACCAUAGAACUGCAUUUGAAACUGUUAUUCUAGAGUAUGGGAGAGGUAGGUGGAAUUCGUGGUGUAGCGGUGAAAUGCAUAGAUAUCACGAAGAACUCCGAUUGCGAAGGCAGCUUACCAGUCUGCGACUGACGCUCAGGCACGAAAGUGUGGGUAUCGAACAGG